rnacentral:rRNA from 1 species
UUCAUUCGCCCAAGUUGCUCUCCUUGGGGAGCACCUUCUCUCUUUGUCAAGAAGAAGGAUGGGACAAACCGAUUAGUUCAAGACUACCGUCCUAUAAACCAAGCUACCAUUCAGAAUAAGUAUCCUCUUCCUCAGAUCAAUGAUUUGUAUGAUCAACUGGCUGGUUUAUCAGUGUUCUCUAAGCUCGACUUGAGGUUGGGUUACCACCAGAUCCGUGUUCGCGAAGAGGAUAUCCCAAAGACCGCCUUCGUGACUCGCUAUGGUUCAUACGAGUACACCGUCAUGUCUUUCGGUUUAACCAAUGCUCCAGCCACCUUCUCU